CAGUAGCCGCGGUAAAACGGAGGGGGCUAGCGUUGUUCGGAAUUACUGGGCGUAAAGCGCACGUAGGCGGCUUUGUAAGUUAGAGGUGAAAGCCUGGGGCUCAACUCCAGAAUUGCCUUUAAGACUGCAUCGCUUGAACGUCGGAGAGGUGAGCGGAAUUCCGAGUGUAGAGGUGAAAUUCGUAGAUAUUCGGAAGAACACCAGUGGCGAAGGCGGCUCACUGGACGACUGUUGACGCUGAGGUGCGGAAGCGUGGGGAGCAAACAGGAUUAGAUACCCCAGUAGUCCCUGUCUCUUAUAU
rnacentral:rRNA from 1 species